rnacentral:rRNA from 1 species
AGCCGUAAACCCAAGUAAUUAAUAAACAAAAUUACUCGCCAGAGUACUACAAGCAAAAGCUUAAAACUCAAAGGACUUGGCGGUACUUCACAUCCCUCUAGAGGAGCCUGUUCUAUAAUCGAUAAACCCCGAUAAACCUCACCACUUCUUGCUAAUUCAACCUAUAUACCGCCAUCCUCAGCAAACCCUGUAAAGGUUUAAAAGUAAGCAAAAACACCAAGCAUAAAAACGUUAGGUCAAGGUGUAGUCCAUGAAGUGGAAAGAAAUGGGCUACAUUUUCUAAUAUAAGAACAACACACCAACAACAAUCUUUAUGAAACUAAAGACCAAAGGAGGAUUUAGCAGUAAAUUAAGAAUAGAGAGCUUAAUUGAAUAGGGCCAUGAAGU